rnacentral:lncRNA from 1 species
GAAGAGACUGUCCAGGAUGAUUUUGGGAGCUUCUGAUCUUUUGAGAUUACCUGAUAUUGCUUGUGUAGAUGAACGUAUUGACACCAGGCAAUUUUGGAAGACUGAAAAAUAAAAAAAACCUCAGCUUGGUGUACUCAAAUCAUCUAGUGAACAAUGACAGAAUCCUACCUCCUAGUUAUUUCUUUUCAGUUUGCCGGUGGGUAAAGAAAUUCAGCCCCAAGAAAAGAAUGCUGCUUUUAAAAUUAUUCCUUCCUGCUUUUCUUCAUCCAAUGAAUAUACACUGCUUUGAUUACAGUAGGGCUUUGCUUAAGCUGUUGACAAUGAUUUUUCUUUUAAGAAAAAACCCUAGGGAGAAAAUAGC